CCUACGGGAGGCAGCAGUGGGGAAUAUUGCACAAUGGGGGAAACCCUGAUGCAGCGACGCCGCGUGAGUGAAGAAGUAUUUCGGUAUGUAAAGCUCUAUCAGCAGGGAAGAAAAUGACGGUACCUGAUUAAGAAGCCCCGGCUAACUAUGUGCCAGCAGCCGCGGCAAUACGUAGGGGGCAAGCGUUAUCCGGAUUUACUGGGUGUAAAGGGAGCGUAGACGGCAGCACAAGUCUGGAGUGAAAUGCCGGGGCUUAACCCCGGAACUGCUUUGGAAACUGUGCAGCUAGAGUGCAGGAGGGGUAAGUGGAAUUCCUGGUGUAGCGGUGAAAUGCGUAGAUAUUAGGAGGAACACCAGUGGCGAAGGCGGCUUACUGGACUGUAACUGACGUUGAGGCUCGAAGGCGUGGGGAGCGAACGGGAUUAGAUACCCGUGUAGUC
rnacentral:rRNA from 1 species